GGGUGUGGCUCAGUGGUAGAGCACUUGCCUAGCAGGUGAGGCCCUUGGUUUGAUUCCUAGCACCACCA
rnacentral:tRNA from 1 species